rnacentral:rRNA from 1 species
UACAGAGGUCUCGAGCGUUGUUCGGAUUCAUUGGGCGUAAAGGGUGCGUAGGUGGCGCUGUAAGUCAGGUGUGAAAUUUCGGAGCUUAACUCCGAAACUGCAUUUGAUACUGCGGUGCUUGAGGACUGGAGAGGAGACUGGAAUUUACGGUGUAGCAGUGAAAUGCGUAGAGAUCGUAAGGAAGACCAGUGGCGAAGGCGGGUCUCUGGACAGUUCCUGACACUGAGGCACGAAAGCUAGGGGAGCAAACAGG